rnacentral:rRNA from 1 species
CACACCGCCCGUCACACCACGAAAGCUUGUUGCAACCGAAGUCGGUCAUUCAACCCGCAAGGGAGAUAGCCGCCGAAGUUGUGACCAGUGAUUGGGGUG